rnacentral:rRNA from 1 species
UACGAAGGGGGCUAGCGUUGCUCGGAAUCACUGGGCGUAAAGCGCACGUAGGCGGAUCUUUAAGUCAGGGGGUGAAAUCCCAAGGCUCAACCUUGGAACUGCCUUUGAUACUGGGGGAUCUCGAGUCCGGAAGAGGUUGGUGGAACUGCGAGUGUAGAGGUGAAAAUUCGUAGAUAUUCGCAAGAACACCAGUGGCGAAGGCGGCUCACUGGCCCGAUACUGACGCUGAGGCACGAAAGCGUGGGGAGCAAACAGG